rnacentral:lncRNA from 1 species
AGCCAGAGGCAAGAGAGAGAAAGAAACAGCAGCAGAGGCUGUCCUAACGCUUCACAGACACUUGAUUGGAGAGAAGGCAGAAACACUCUUGCUAACUCCAUUCUGGAGUUGGGAGAAGUAAAUCUGGCUUGCAGGAGGACCAAAUGCAGUCAGACCAACAGUUUCCUCUGCCAGCACACCAUGACAGAUGAGGGUCACAAGCUAGGUAGACCUCACGGCCAUAUUGAAGGUUCCACGCACUCCGUACCAGCUAUAACACUAUAUUUUUUUCUCUUCCUCAGUCAAGAAAGCACACAGGAAUAUGAGUCGGCCUUUUCCAUUAGAUGCAUGAGGUGAAAACAAACAGGAACAUGGAGUUGGAGCGAAUGUGUUCUGAGAAACAGAAGGCCCACCUGAAAGGGAGUCUGGAAAUCUUUCCUCCAGGUGCUGACGCUCUAAUUGCAAAAGGCUGAGUCCACACUCACAAAUCAUCCUCUGUUCCUUUGAAACGUCACCAUCUUCCCCAAGAUUUUCCUCUUUACCCAGUCCCCCACGGCUGAGACUGGGCCAUCUCCCCAUAGCCCGUUUCUUCCUGGGGCCCUAGAGGUGCCAGGAACGUUGGAGGCUCAUCGAGGGAGCACUUGAGAGGAGAAGACCCAACACUGUAUGACAGGAAUCACAGCAAGUUCCAACACCUGCCGAGAAACUCCAUUUCCAUUAGGCUCUGGAAGGAGAUCAGAGUCACCAAACCUCUCCCCAAAGCAGUGGGAAGAAGCACUCCCGCCCACAUGGAAUGUUUUCCAUUCUACCUCACCCACGGCCACACGCUGCCAUUUUCCCCACAGACUAUUACUUCAUGUUCAUGAAUGGAAAAAAAAAAAGGGAGAGUGGAGUUGCUGCAGGGAAUGAAAGCUUCUUCAUAGAUUACUUUCAAGUCUGGCAACCUGGGACUUCUGUGUCCCACACGUCCUUCACUUUCAUACAUCAGAAUGUGAUAGCCUGAGGCUACCCACAAGGUCAUCUAACCUGAGAUUCCCAAGGCAGAGGACAGAGCCUGCCUGAGUGUUCCUAUCACAUGGCACACCUCUGUCUGGUAAAAGUGCUAACCGUUAUAAUUUCAUCAUUAGUGUUUUAAGAGAUUAUUUUUAACUUGUAUUGAAAUAAAUAAUGAAGUAGACC